rnacentral:rRNA from 1 species
GACGGAAGGUGCAAGCGUUGCUCGGAAUUACUGGGCGUAAAGGGCUCGUAGGCGGCCAACUAAGUCCGACGUGAAAUCCCAAAGCUUAACUUUGGAACUGCGUCGGAUACUGGAUGGCUUGAAUUCGGGAGAGGGAUGCAGAAUUCCAGGUGUAGCGGUGAAAUGCGUAGAUAUCUGGAGGAAUACCGGUGGCGAAGGCGGCAUCCUGGACCGACAUUGACGCUGAUGAGCGAAAGCUAGGGGAGCAAACGGG